AUGAUGCUCCAUUCUGUCAUUCUAAUUUCUGCCUUUGCAUAUACAAUAUAUGGAAAUGAAAUUAAACCAACCAAAACAGAGGAGUUUGCUGACGAGGGUUCAAGUGUUAAAUUAUCCUGCAGUUAUUUAUCUGCAUUAACUCUCUACUGGUACCGUCAGUAUCCUGGAUCAGCUCCUGAGUUCAUUGUGCUCAUCUCAGACGGAUCAAAACAAGCUCAGGAGUCUAAUGUAGAUUCCAGAUUCACUGCCAAAGUCACCAAAGACAAAGAAAAACUUGUGGAUCUGGAGAUCUCCUCAGCAUCUAUAUCAGACUCUGCUCUGUACUACUGUGCUCUG